UAUUUUGUUUUUGUUUCAGAUACCAGCCCCAGGAUAUUUACAUCAGGACAGGUAACAUAUGCAUCAGAAAGUAAGUAUAUUUUUUUUUAUUUAUUAAUAGUUGUCUGAUAGAUAUUAAAAUAAUUUGAAUAUGUAUUACAGAUAGACGGGAGCCAAGAGAGAAGAAGAAGACAGAACAGUCCUAGACAUGGAGAUGAUUAAAUUGUAGAUGCCUAGAUGAUGAUAUACCAGCCCCAGGAUAUUUACAUCAGGACAGGUAACAUAUGCAUCGGAAAGUAAGUAUAUUUUUUUUUAUUUAUUAAUAGUUGUCUGAUAGAUAUUAAAAUAAUUUGAAUAUGUAUUACAGAUAGAUGGGAGCCAAGAGAGAAGAAGAAGACAGAACAGUCCUAGACAUGGAGAUGAUUAAAUUGUAGAUGCCAAGAUGAUGAUAUACCAGCCCCAGGAUAUUUACAUCAGGACAGGUAACAUAUGCAUCGGAAAGUAAGUAUAUUUUUUUUUAUUUAUUAAUAGUUGUCUGAUAGAUAUUAAAAUAAUUUGAAUAUGUAUUACAGAUAGAUGGGAGCCAAGAGAGAAGAAGAAGACAGAACAGUCCUAGACAUGGAGAUGAUUAAAUUGUAGAUGCCAAGAUGAUGAUAUACCAGCCCCAGGAUAUUUACAUCAGGACAGGUAACAUAUGCAUCGGAAAGUAAGUAUAUUUUUUUUUAUUUAUUAAUAGUUGUCUGAUAGAUAUUAAAAUAAUUUGAAUAUGUAUUACAGAUAGACGGGAGCCAAGGGAGAAGAAGAAGACAGAACAGUCCUAGACAUGGAGAUGAUGAAAUUGUAGAUGCCAAGAUGAUGAUAUACCAGCCCCAGGAUAUUUACAUCAGGACAGGUAACAUAUGCAUCGGAAAGUAAGUAUAUUUUUUUUUUAUUUAUUAAUAGUUGUCUGAUAGAUAUUAAAAUAAUUUGAAUAUGUAUUACAGAUAGACGGGAGCCAAGAGAGAAGAAGAAGACAGAACAGUCCUAGACAUGGAGAUGAUUAAAUUGUAGAUGCCAAGAUGAUGAUAUACCAGCCCCAGGAUAUUUACAUCAGGACAGGUAACAUAUGCAUCGGAAAGUAAGUAUAUUUUUUUUUUUAUUUAUUAAUAGUUGUCUGAUAGAUAUUAAAAUAAUUUGAAUAUGUAUUACAGAUAGACGGGAGCCAAGAGAGAAGAAGAAGACAGAACAGUCCUAGACAUGGAGAUGAUGAAAUUGUAGAUGCCAAGAUGAUGAUAUUCCAGGAGCAGGUAAUUUACAUCGUGCCAGGCUGUCCCGUGGACGUGUUUAUAUUACAGACGGAUGAAGCCCAGUGGAACAUUACAGACGGAUGGAGCCCAGAGGAACAUACAGUCCUAGACCUGAAGUUACCAGAUAAUGAUGAUGUUAUUACAGCGACUGUUUUCAUGGAUGGGGAGUAAAACUGGGUGGUCUUAUACUUUUCAUAAAUUAACAAAAUAACAACACGACUGGUGGAUUCAAUUCUAGGAACCAGUGAAGAAAUUAAAAGUGAAGACUUGCGACGGAAAAUCCAGGAAACAGGUCUUUUACUGAACAGUAUGAGAGAGCCAAGAUGAUUGUUGGAUUUAAACUGCUUGGAAAAUACCACCAAAUGAAGACAAAAAAUGCACUGCAUCAACAAACAAAUCAACUACUGGAAUGUCAGAGCAUCAGUACCUAGUUCUGAUUCUAAAAACAAUUGUUCAAAAUAAAUGCAGAAUGUGACACAAAUGAUGACCCUGCUUGCAUAUAACAUUAUAAAGGGACAAACAGUAAAAUUGAUGCCAUUUAAAUUCAAAGCUGAACAGUGUUUUGUGAUGAAGAUUUGGAUCCUUUUGGCUUGAAAGAUUGUCAGGAACAUGAAGAAACUGAAUCCAUUAUGAACAUAUGUUCACAAACAGACAAAAUAACAACAACACUGGUUGAUACAAUUCUAGGAACUGGUGAAGAAGUUAAGUCUUACAAAAUACAGAAGACUUGCAACGGAAAAUCCCGGAAUGAGGUCUUUUACUGAACAGUAUGAGAGAGUCAAGAUGAUUGUUGGAUUUAAAAUGCUUGAAAAAUACAACCAAAUGAAGACAAAAAAUGCAUCAACAAACAAAUCAACUAAUGGAACGUUGGGGCAUCAGUACCUAGUUCUGACUCUAAAAGCAAUUGUUCAAAAUAAAUGGAGAAUGUGACACAGAUGAUGACCCUGCUUGCAUAUAUUAACAUUAUCAAGGGACAAACAGUUAAUUGAUGCAGUUUAAAUUCAAAGCGGAACAGUGUUUUGUGAUGGAAAUAUGAAUCCUUUUGGCUUGAAAGAUUGUCAGGAACAUGAAGAAACUGAAUCCAUUAUAAACAUAUGUACAUAAACAGAUGAAGAUUUGGAUCCUUUUGGCUUGAAAGAUCAUUGUCAGGAACAUGAAGAAACUGAAUCCAUUAUGAACAUAUGUACACAAACAGACAAAAUAACAACAACACUGGUUGAUACAAUUCUAGGAACUGGUGAAGAAGUUAAGUCUUACAAAAUACAGAAGACUUGCAACGGAAAAUCCCGGAAUGAGGUCUUUUACUGAACAGUAUGAGAGAGUCAAGAUGAUUGUUGGAUUUAGAAUGCUUGAAAAAUACAACCAAAUGAAGACAAAAAAUGCAUCAACAAACAAAUCAACUAAUGGAACGUUGGGGCAUCAGUACCUAGUUCUGAUUCUAAAAGCAAUUGUUCAAAAUAAAUGGAGAAUGUGACACAGAUGAUGACCCUGCUUGCAUAUAUUAACAUUAUAAAGGGACAAACAGUAAAUUGAUGCAGUUUAAAUUCAAAGCUGAACAGUGUUUUGUGACAAAAUAACAACAACACUGGUUGAUACAAUUCUAGGAACAGGUGGAGAAGUUAAAAGUUUUACAAAAUUCAGAAGACUUGCAAUGGAAAAUCCAGGAAACAGGUCUUUUACUGAACAGUAUGAGAGAGCAAAGAUGAUUGUUGGAUUUAAAAUGCUUGGAAAAUACAAUCAAAUGAAAACAAAAAUGCACUGCAUCAACAAACAAAUCAACUAUUGGAACAUUGGGGCAUCAGUACCUAGUUCAGAUUCUAAAAACAAUUGUUUAAAAUAAAUGGAGAAUGUGUCCAUGGGACACAGAUGAUGCCCCUGCUUGCAUAUAACAUUAUAAAGGGACAAACAGUAAAAUUGACGCCAUUUCAAUUCAAAGCUGAACAGUGUUUUGUGACAAAAUAACAUCAACACUGGUUGAUACAAUUCUAGGAACCGGCGAAGAAGUUAAAAGUUUUACAAAAUACAGAAGACUUGCAACGGAAAAUCCAGGAAACAGGUCUUUUACUGAACAGUAUGAGAGAGCCAAGAUGAUUGUUGGAUUUAAACCGCUUGGAAAAUACAACCAAAUGAGGACAAAAAAUGCAUCAACAAACAAAACAACUAAUGGAACGUUGGGGCAUCAGUACCUAGUUCUGAUUCUAAAAACAUUGUUCAAAAUCUUCUACAAGGUUUAGAAGACUGUACAUACAUGUAUAUAUUUAUAUUUAUAU